rnacentral:rRNA from 1 species
UCAGAAUGAACGCUGGCGGCAGGCCUAACACAUGCAAGUUGAACGGAUCCUUCGGGAUUAGUGGCGGACGGGUGAGUAACGCGUGGGAACAUACCCAAAGGUACGGAAUAGCCUCGGGAAACUGGGAGUAAUACCGUAUGUGCCCUUCGGGGGAAAGAUUUAUCGCCUUUGGAUUGGCCCGCGUUGGAUUAGGUAGUUGGUGGGGUAAUGGCCUACCAAGCCGACGAUCCAUAGCUGGUUUGAGAGGAUGAUCAGCCACACUGGGACUGAGACACGGCCCAGACUCCUACGGGAGGCAGCAGUGGGGAAUCUUAGACAAUGGGGGAAACCCUGAUCUAGCCAUGCCGCGUGAUCGAUGAAGGCCUUAGGGUUGUAAAGAUCUUUCAGUUGGGAAGAUAAUGACUGUACCAACAGAAGAAGCCCCGGCUAACUCCG